rnacentral:rRNA from 1 species
GACGAACGCUGGCGGCAUGCCUAAUACAUGCAAGUCGAGCGGAGUUAUGAUGGAGCUUGCUCCUGAUUAACUUAGCGGCGGACGGGUGAGUAACACGUAGGCAACCUGCCCUCAAGACUGGGAUAACUACCGGAAACGGUAGCUAAUACCGGAUAAUUUCUUUCCUCUCCUGAAGAGAGAAUGAAAGGCGGAGCAAUCUGCUGCUUGGGGAUGGGCCUGCGGCGCAUUAGCUAGUUGGUGGAGUGAUGGCUCACCAAGGCGACGAUGCGUAGCCGACCUGAGAGGGUGAACGGCCACAAGGGGACUGAGGCACGGCCCUU